UACGAAGGGGGCUAGCGUUGUCCGGAAUCACUGGGCGUAAAGCGCACGUAGGCGGAUCUUUAAGUCAGGGGUGAAAUCCUGGAGCUCAACUCCAGAACUGCCUUUGAUACUGGGGAUCUCGAGUCCGGAAGAGGUAAGUGGAACUCCGAGUGUAGAGGUGAAAUUCGUAGAUAUUCGGAAGAACACCAGUGGCGAAGGCGGCUUACUGGUCCGGUACUGACGCUGAGGUGCGAAAGCGUGGGGAGCAAACAGG
rnacentral:rRNA from 1 species